UCCCACCCCUUCCCAUCCCGAACAGGACCGUGAAACGACUCCACGCCGAUGAUAGUGCGGAUUCCCGUGUGAAAGUAGGUAAUCGUCAGGC
rnacentral:rRNA from 1 species